rnacentral:rRNA from 1 species
CGGAGCUUGCUCCAUCGGAAAAAGAGGAGUGGCGAACGGGUGAGUAACACGUGGGUAACCUGCCCAUCAGAAGGGGAUAACACUUGGAAACAGGUGCUAAUACCGUAUAACAAUCGAAACCGCAUGGUUUCGAUUUGAAAGGCGCUUUCGGGUGUCGCUGAUGGAUGGACCCGCGGUGCAUUAGCUAGUUGGUGAGGUAACGGCUCACCAAGGCGACGAUGCAUAGCCGACCUGAGAGGGUGAUCGGCCACAUUGGGACUGAGACACGGCCCAAACUCCUACGGGAGGCAGCAGUAGGGAAUCUUCGGCAAUGGACGAAAGUCUGACCGAGCAACGCCGCGUGAGUGAAGAAGGUUUUCGGAUCGUAAAACUCUGUUGUUAGAGAAGAACAAGGAUGAGAGUAACUGUUCAUCCCUUGACGGUAUCUAACCAGAAAGCCACGGCUAACUACGUGCCAGCAGCCGCGGUAAUACGUAGGUGGCAAGCGUUGUCCGGAUUUAUUGGGCGUAAAGCGAGCGCAGGCGGUUUCUUAAGUCUGAUGUGAAAGCCCCCGGCUCAACCGGGGAGGGUCAUUGGAAACUGGGAGACUUGAGUGCAGAAGAGGAGAGUGGAAUUCCAUGUGUAGCGGUGAAAUGCGUAGAUAUAUGGAGGAACACCAGUGGCGAA